GAUUGUCCUAAACGUUUAAGUCGGCUACAUGUGAAAAAUUGAAAGAUUCAACGGAGCCUACAGACCCAUAAAAUGCUUGCGAACUGACACGGUGACCCGGGUCGGGAGUGGUUUAGAGACAAACCCUAGUUCUUCGUACCAGUUUACCCAGUUCUUGUGUCCAAACUCAUUGAUUCUCGAUACCCCAGCAUCCGUGACUACCGAUAUGGGUAUGGUUUGUAGUGCAGUGUAAUAUAUAGGUAUAAUAUACCUCAAGAACUCGUGCUGAGAAAUCAAUGCUGUGCUACGGACGUACCGCAUAUAUCAUAAUGUAGCUCAUCUCUGUAUAAUUGAAUCUUCAAAAAUUACCCAAAAUCGAUCUUACAUCAUUAAGUUGUCUUAAAAUCAGUAUAUUAUCGAUGCGUGAAAUUUUCAUCAUUACAAGAUUGAUGUUUUUUUCCUAAUUUUUUGUAUCA
rnacentral:misc_RNA from 1 species